UUUUCCGGUUGAUCCCGCCGGAGGUCAUUGCUAUUGGAGUCCGAUUUAGCCAUGCUAGUCGUACGAGUUCAGACUCGUGGCGAAUAGCUCAGUAACACGUGGCCAAACUACCCUGUCGAGCGGGAUAACCUCGGGAAACUGAGGCUAAUACUGCAUACGGCUCGAUGCCUGGAAUGGCUCGAGCUCGAAACGCUCCGGCGCGACAGGAUGUGGCUGCGGCCGAUUAGGUAGACGGUGGGGUAACGGCCCACCGUGCCGAUAAUCGGUACGGGUCAUGAGAGUGAGAGCCCGGAGACGGAAUCUGAGACAAGAUUCCGGGCCCUACGGGGCGCAGCAGGCGCGAAACCUUUACACUGCACGCCAGUGCGAUAAGGGGACUCCGAGUGCGAGGGCAUACAGUCCUCGCUUUUGUGUACCGUAAGAAGGUACCCGAAUAAGGGCUGGGCAAGAAUCGAAUUCCCG
rnacentral:rRNA from 1 species